AUUGAACGCUGGCGGCAGGCCUAACACAUGCAAGUCGAGCGGCAGCGGGAAAGUAGCUUGCUACUUUUGCCGGCGAGCGGCGGACGGGUGAGUAAUGCCUGGGAAAUUGCCCAGUCGAGGGGGAUAACAGUUGGAAACGACUGCUAAUACCGCAUACGCCCUACGGGGGAAAGCAGGGGACCUUCGGGCCUUGCGCGAUUGGAUAUGCCCAGGUGGGAUUAGCUAGUUGGUGAGGUAAUGGCUCACCAAGGCGACGAUCCCUAGCUGGUCUGGGAGGAUGAUCAGCCACCCUGGAACUGAGACACGGUCCAGACUCCUACGGGAGGCAGCAGUGGGGAAUAUUGCACAAUGGGGGAAACCCUGAUGCAGCCAUGCCGCGUGUGUGAAGAAGGCCUUCGGGUUGUAAAGCACUUUCAGCGAGGAGGAAAGGUCAGUAGCUAAUAUCUGCUGACUGUGACGUUACUCGCAGAAGAAGCACCGGCUAACUCCGUGCCAGCCGCCGCAGUAACAC
rnacentral:rRNA from 1 species